rnacentral:rRNA from 1 species
UACGAAGGGGGGCUAGCGUUGUUCGGAUUUACUGGGCGUAAAGCGCACGUAGGCGGAUCGUUAAGUCGGGGGUGAAAUCCUGGAGCUCAACUCCAGAACUGCCUUCGAUACUGGCGAUCUUGAGUCCGGAAGAGGUGAGUGGAACUCCUAGUGUAGAGGUGGAAUUCGUAGAUAUUGGGAAGAACACCGGUGGCGAAGGCGGCGACCUGGUCCGUGACUGACGCUGAGGCGCGAAAGCGUGGGGAGCAAACA